rnacentral:rRNA from 1 species
ACUCGAGUGGCGAACGGGUGAGUAACACGUGGGUGAUCUGCCCUGCACUUCGGGAUAAGCUUGGGAAACUGGGUCUAAUACCGGAUAGGAGCCAUCUUUAGUGUGGUGGUUGGAAAGUUUUUCGGUGUAGGAUGAGCCCGCGGCCUAUCAGCUUGUUGGUGGGGUAAUGGCCUACCAAGGCGGCGACGGGUAGCCGGACUGAGAGGUUGGUCGGCCACAUUGGGACUGAGAUACGGCCCAG